rnacentral:rRNA from 1 species
AAGAAGCACCGGCUAACUACGUGCCAGCAGCCGCGGUAAUACGUAGGGUGCGAGCGUUAAUCGGAAUUACUGGGCGUAAAGCGUGCGCAGGCGGUUGUGUAAGACAGGUGUGAAAUCCCCGGGCUUAACCUGGGAACUGCGCUUGUGACUGCACGGCUAGAGUAUGGCAGAGGGGGGUGGAAUUCCACGUGUAGCAGUGAAAUGCGUAGAGAUGUGGAGGAACACCGAUGGCGAAGGCAGCCCCCUGGGCCAAUACUGACGCUCAUGCACGAAAGCGUGGGGAGCAAACAGGAUUAGAUACCCUGGUAGUC